rnacentral:rRNA from 2 species
GAGUGAAGCGGCAACACGCUCAAAUUUGAAAUCUGGCCUCUUCGGGGUCCGAGUUGUAAUUUGCAGAGAGAGCUUUGGCGUUGGUUGUGGUCUAAGUUCCUUGGAACAGGACGUCGCAGAGGGUGAGAAUCCCGUAUGUGGCCGCCAGCCUUCGCCGUGUAAAGCCUUCUCGACGAGUCGAGUUGUUUGGGAAUGCAGCUCUAAAUGGGAGGUAAAUUUCUUCUAAAGCUAAAUAUUGGCCAGAGACCGAUAGCGCACAAGUAGAGUGAUCGAAAGAUGAAAAGCACUUUGGAAAGAGAGUCAAAAAGCACGUGAAAUUGUUGAAAGGGAAGCGCUUGCAGCCAGACUUGCUUGCGGUUGUUCAGCCGGGCUCCUGCCCGGUGUACUCUUCCGCACGCAGGCCAGCAUCAGUCCCGGGCGGUCGGAUAAAGGCCCAUUAAACGUACCUCCCCUCGGGGAGGACUUAUAGGGUGGGUGCCAUGCGACCAGCCUGGAUUGAGGUCCCGCGCAUCUGCUAGGAUGCUGGCGUAAUGGCUGUAAGCGGCCCGUCUUGAAACACGGACCAAGGAGUCUAACAUCUAUGCGAGUGUUUGGGUGUCAAGCCCGAGCGCGUAAUGAAAGUGAACGGAGGUGGGAACCUUUCGGGGUGCACCAUCGACCGAUCCUGAUGUCUUCGGAUGGAUUUGAGUAAGAGCAUAGCUGUUGGGACCCGAAAGAUGGUGAACUAUGCCUGAAUAGGGUGAAGCCAGAGGAAACUCUGGUGGAGGCUCGCAGCGGUUCUGACGUGCAAAUCGAUCGUCAAAUUUGGGCAUAGGGGCGAAAGACUAAUCGAACUAUCUAGUAGCUGGUUCCUGCCGAAGUUUCCCUCAGGAUAGCAGUAACGUUUUCAGUUUUAUGAGGUAAAGCGAAUGAUUAGAGGCCUGGGGGUUGAAACAACCUUCACCUAUUCUCAAACUUUAAAUAUGUAAGAAGUCCUUGUUACUUGAUUGAACGCGGACAUUUGAAUGUAUCGUUACUAGUGGGCCAUUUUUGGUAAGCAGAACUGGCGAUGCGGGAUGAACCGAACGCGGGGUUAAGGUGCCAGAAUACACGCUCAUCAGACACCACAAAAGGUGUUAGUUCAUCUAGACAGCAGGACGGUGGCCAUGGAAGUCGGAAUCCGCUAAGGAGUGUGUAACAACUCACCUGCCGAAUGAACUAGCCCUGAAAAUGGAUGGCGCUUAAGCGUGUUACCCAUACCCCGCCGCCAGGGCAGAAAUUAUGCCCUGGCGAGUAGGCAGGCGUGGAGGUUUGU